rnacentral:lncRNA from 1 species
GUCCGUUAAGAUCAGUACGUGCUAUGUCUUUUCUUAGGGAAAGUGACUAGUCUCGAGUCAUUGGUGUGAUUGACACCAAGACAAGCAUGUAGGUGGUCAAUAGAAAAUGAGUCCACUGAACACGAUCAACAAUGAGUUCUCAUACUUAUGUCACAUGAGAACCCAUGGUUAGGAUAAUGCAAAGUAGUCCUUUGACCUGAGGUAUCAUAGUUGUCUUGUGGUUAGGUCCUUGAUUUUUGACUAUGUCAAAGUCACUCUGUCAGAGGGUAUCCACGGCAUAGUUGGGGUUAAGCCACUUAGGCAUGGAUGCAAGUGAAUGCGCAACAAGGGAUCUAUAACCUUCAAACCGUUUGAGGAAGGAUACUCUAUGAUAUGAUUAAGAAUCUCUGGC